ACCUCAGAGGCUCCAGACAUGACAUACCUAUAAACACAGUGUAAAGGAUGGUGGCUGGUCUGUGAAUGCUUUGAAGGAAACACUGAAGGGAAAUCAAAUACAGCUGAGGCUCCUGCCGCAUUAGCGUGGCCCAUUCACAUCCCACCAUAAUCUGGAUCGGGCACAAUCAUUCCACAAAUGGAACAGCUUCAGAAUAUAAAACCAGAUUGCGUGGAACAAUUGGAAGAAUGAUAAAUAUUCUCCUUUUGUGUACGUAACACAUGUAUUUUUAUGUUAUGA